GAUUCCCUUUCGGGAUCAUCGGAUAAAGUUGGAACAACACAGAGAAGAGUAGCAUGGCUGCGCAAGGAUCACACGCAUAAUCGAGAAGUGCGCCAAGUUUUG
rnacentral:snRNA from 1 species